GGUUGUGGCUCAGUGAUAGAGCACUUGCCUAGUAUGCACGAGGCACUGGGCUCAAUCCCUAGUACCA
rnacentral:tRNA from 1 species